UCUGUCUGGUUGAUGUGGACAUUAUGACA
rnacentral:piRNA from 2 species